GCUAGAUAUGCUAUAGCAGUGCUCUGUAAUCAGAAUGUUAUGUGACGGUAAUGCGCCGCAGAAGCCCGCUGUGCUAGCUCUCUGCCUGUACCAAGCCUUGGCUCUUGAGUUCUGACAUCAGGCGUGUUUAACAGCUACUAGUAUUAGGGGCCCUACAAACAGCUCUUCAAGGAACCUCUACUGCAAGUCAACCAGAGCUAUAGCAGUGGAACGGAUGAAGCCAGAUCUGUGUCCUGCUUCCCCUUUCCACAUCUAUUUCCCAGUUUUUCACAGAACAUGCAGGAUCAAGUUUUGAAACAUGUCAUCUGCUAACACGAUGUGGACACCAUGACAGAAGUGACAGUUAUCUCGCAUCACAAGAGCACAUCUGAAGGCAGAGCUCAGAAGAGGAGCACAUGCUAUCUAUCCCACUGAGCCACAUGACCCCAUGCCAAAGGAGAAAAUACUGUGGGAGAUUUGGGGUAAGACUGGAGGAAAUGACUUGACAGGUCCAGAAAAACAAGCUCAGAGCCUCCUUUUUUUUAAGAUAAACGGCAUUUUGAAGACUUUAAGUCAAAAUUACAAAUUAAACCAGCUAACUGAUUAGCGUCAGAGCCAGUAAGGAAUGCAUUUGUUAGCAAAAAAUGAUAACAUGAUCAAAGUUGAGUGUGGAUGCACUGCACUGCACUAUCUGCACUGGCCCGACUCAUAGCACCACUCAUUCAACUCAGUCAUAAGAAGCUGAGAAAAAAAAAAAAAAA